rnacentral:rRNA from 1 species
AUGUAUUAUACUAUUUGGGAGAGUGAAUUCCUGUUUCUACCACUACUUAGACAUUUUUUUACGCGAAUUGCCCAAUUGAACAGUUUUCGUCCGGAUUACCCUGUUUUCCUUUUUUUAACUCCGGCCUUCUUAAUGAGAAAAACAGAGCACCUGACACAGGAGCCGAGACCAAUUAAUGGAUACAAUCUGUGCACUGCCAAUGCAGCCAUGCUAAGAUGCAACGAUCGAUCCGUCUUGCUGCCUGCUGCAGAUGGACCAGCAGCGCCAACAAGAGCACAGCAAGGACCAGCAACCGACACAGGCGCGGUGCUGGCAAAGCGAGAUGGAGAGGAGAACCAGAAGAGCAAGGCCGACAACAGGUGGCAUGCCUCGACUCGUCUCAACUUAACUGAACCGAACCGAACUGAACUUUACACAAGAGAAUCCUCUGCAUCUUUGGUACGUAGCUACCUUGACUGGUGA